rnacentral:rRNA from 1 species
UACGGAGGGUGCAAGCGUUAUCCGGAUUCACUGGGUUUAAAGGGUGCGUAGGAGGGUGUGUAAGUCAGUGGUGAAAUCUUCGAGCUUAACUCGGAAACUGCCGUUGAUACUACAUGUCUUGAAUACCGUGGAGGUGAGCGGAAUAUGUCAUGUAGCGGUGAAAUGCUUAGAUAUGACAUAGAACACCAAUUGCGAAGGCAGCUUACUACACAACGAUUGACGCUGAGGCACGAAAGCGUGGGGAUCAAACAGG